rnacentral:rRNA from 1 species
GACGAACGCUGGCGGCGUGCUUAACACAUGCCAGUCGAACGGAAAGGCCCUGCUUUUGUGGAGUGCUCGAGUGGCGAACGGGUGAGUAACACGUGAGUAACCUGCCCUUGACUUUGGGAUAACUUCAGGAAACUGGGGCUAAUACCGGAUAGGAGCUCCUGCUGCAUGGUGGGGGUUGGAAAGUUUCGGCGGUUGGGGAUGGACUCGCGGCUUAUCAGCUUGUUGGUGGGGUAGUGGCUUACCAAGGCUUUGACGGGUAGCCGGCCUGAGAGGGUGACCGGCCACAUUGGGACUGAGAUACGGCCCAGACUCCUACGGGAGGCAGCAGUGGGGAAUAUUGCACAAUGGGCGGAAGCCUGAUGCAGCAACGCCGCGUGCGGGAUGACGGCCUUCGGGUUGUAAACCGCUUUCGCCUGUGACGAAGCGUGAGUGACGGUAAUGGGUAAAGAAGCACCGGCUAACUACGUG